UACGUAGGGAGCAAGCGUUGUCCGGAUUCACUGGGUGUAAAGGGUGCGUAGGCGGGAAGGUAAGUCCGCGGUGAAAUCUCACAGCUCAACUGUGAAACUGCCGUUGAUACUGCUUUUCUUGAGUUCGGGAGAGGUUGAUGGAAUUCCAGGUGUAGCGGUGAAAUGCGUAGAUAUCUGGAAGAACACCAGUGGCGAAGGCGGUCAACUGGCCCGUUAACUGACGCUGAGGCACGAAAGCGUGGGGAGCAAACAGG
rnacentral:rRNA from 1 species